UACGUAGGGUGCAAGCGUUAAUCGGAAUUACUGGGCGUAAAGCGCGCGCAGGCGGCCGUGCAAGCAUGGCGUGAAAGCCCCGGGCUCAACCCGGGAGGGUCGCGGCGAACUGGGAGGCUUGAGGCCGGUAGAGGUGGGUGGAACUCCUGGUGGAGUGGUGAAAUGCGUAGAGAUCAGGAAGAACACCCGUGGCGAAGGCGGCCCACUGGGCCGGUGCUGACGCUGAGGCGCGAAGGCGUGGGGAGCGAACGGG
rnacentral:rRNA from 1 species